AACGCACGAGACCUGCGGACCUGCGGAGGGAUCAUUAGUGAACGCCCUCGCGGGCUUAUAACUAUUCCAAACCUCUGUGAACCGUGCCCUUCGGGGCUAUUUUACAAACAUGGUGUAAUGAACGUCAUAUAUCAUAACAAAACAAAACUUUCAGCAACGGAUCUCU
rnacentral:misc_RNA from 1 species